GCCGGGAUGGCGGAACUGGUAGACGCGCCGGACUCAAAAUCCGGUUCUGGCAACAGAGUGCGGGUUCGAGUCCCGCUCCCGGCACCA
rnacentral:tRNA from 1 species